rnacentral:tRNA from 1 species
GUAGACCAGGAGAGGGCUCUUAAAGUGGGGAAGUUUAAGGGACUCUCUAGAGAAAGUUGGGGUCUCCCUUGUAGUCAGGAGCCCUACGUGACUGUAAGGGCAGCUUCGUGUAACACCCUAACCCUGAGAUGGGGCUCUGCUCUCCAGGACCAGAGAGAAGAAAUGAAGAGCCUGGGCAUUAGGAGCGCGGGGAUCCGAAGUAGCCUCAGUCUCCUGUCACUGCCCCGUCACCAUGCUGGGGAAUCUCCGGGCCAGUAACCCAGCCCCCACCCCCUCCCACACACUCAGGGGCCGCUGGACAAAGACCUGACGGAGUGGGAGGGGCCUGCGGGCCAGCCCUCGGGCUCCGACCGCAGGAUCCUCUGGGACCCGAACCCACAAAUCUUGGCUUUUGCCCCCUACCCCCCAACCUCCCCAGAGCAGGCUGCUUGCUAUCCCUGCAGCCUCGACACCAGAGAGGACGGCCAAACGGGUGCCCGUCGGCUGCCCCAGCGGCUAGCCCCUACGGUGCCCGCCCCCUCCCCCCGGGAAGUGACCCUGGGCUCCCACGCACCCGCUCGGGUCUCUUGCCGGCCUUGCCCUCCGACCUCCGCUUAGUUGAACCCCGCGACCCGCAGCCCCCGCCCUCGCUGGCCCUCGCACGGCCCUGCGCCCGCGGACAAAGCUCCGGACACCCUGACCGAACAGUCACCACCCCCUGACCCCGGCCCGCCCGCGCGCUCCCGCGCCUGCCCCCGCCCGGGCCCGCGACGCGUACCUCGGCAUCCCGGCCGGGUCCUAGGUGAGUGUGCGCGGCCUGGGGGGGCGUCCGGCUCGGGGACCGGGGCGGGGGAGCGGGCCGAGGGCGACUGGCCGGGGCUGGGGGGCAGCGGCGCUCACCAUCCUGGAACCACUGCUGCUGCAGCUGCUGCGGCCACCGCGGCCGGGAGCGGGACUGGGCAGUGGGGGUGGCCGGACAAGGGGCGGCCCCGGCUCCCCCCGCAGGCAGGACCCCCACCCUGCCUCCCCUCUCCCGCCCCCAGCGCCCUCCCUCUCAGGCCCUCGCUCCCCUCCCCUUCCCCUGCUCCUCCCCUCCCGAGUGUCCCUCCCCCAACUCCCGCCCCUACUCCGGCCCUCUCCACCCCGCUCCUUCCCGCCCCGCCCCCACCUCCCCUGGGCUCACCCGGCCCCUCGGAGCCGCCCUCCCCGCCGGCCCCGCCCCUCGCCUCCCCUAGCUCUAAAAUAAAUUAGCCACAGAGGGGAAAAAGAGCAAAUGACCCUCGGUGUGGAGAGUGUCCUUGCGCCACUCUCAGGCCCGCCCGCCCGCCCCCGCCUUCCCCGGGCCGUCGGAGCGGGAAGUUGGGAUGGGGGUGGAGGGGGGAUGGAGGCCCGGCGGGCAAGUAGGGGUGGUUGAGCAGCCGGGGGAGGCGGGGAGGGCGGGAGCCCGGGGUUGUGCCGCCCGGAUCGCCGAGCGCGUCCGCUGGGUGUGAGCGGCUUCCUGGGUCGAAGGGCAAAAGGGAAGUCGACUGACCCGGGUUCGCUCCGUCCGCGAGCUGCUCAGGACCCCCUCUGUCACCAGGGCCCCUUUGCCAAAGCCGUGUUGACCCACGCUUACUUCCCCCGCCCCAGGUGAGCUGAGCACCUACUGCGUGCCGGACUCUGCUGCGCCGCCAGUCGGGACGCAGAGGGCAGGACGCAAAGCCAGGCAAGUCCACAGCUCCGCACCAAUGCCACCCGACUGCGGGAGGGUGGAGGGUGAAGGGAGAAGGGCAAGCCCUGGACGUAGGCAGCGGUCUGGGGUGUGACUUUUUAAACCGCGGGCUUCACUAGAGGGCUUCCCCUAGGAGGCGGCAUUCACACUGUGGGAAGCUGGAGAGAAUGUGAAGGAUGCGUCUGAAUCCUCUAGUCGGCUUAUUGGCAUCCAAAAGCAUUCAGUGAUUGCUGAGUUCAUUCAGCAGAUGCAUGUUGAGCUUCUACUUUGCGCCAAGCAUUGGGCUAGCUCUGGGGAUACCUAAGAGAAUCCAAAAGCACUGCCCUGCCCUGGUGAUACUCCUAGUCAAAGAGUCCUAGAGUCCUGCAGGCACAAAACUUUGCAUCACUGGGGAAAAAAAUCCAGGACCUCCCUUUGCCCGGAAGGCCGUCGGAGCAAGGGCUAUACUUAAGGUGAAAGGUCCAGAUAAAAUUCUGGAGAGACACUGAGCAUCCAGAAGGGUCCCAAGGACAUCAAUCUUUCCACCCAUGGGCAGUGCUCAAGUGCCCUCUUUUCUGAAGUGUUUUUAUUUUUUCCUUUUGGAGAGCAGCUCAUCCUGCCUGUCAGUAGAGCAAGACUGACCUUGUGGCCCUCACCACCCCUGACUCCCCGACUCCCAACAGGCUAUGUCCUUCAUUUAGCAGAACUCUAAACACUACCUUCUCCCUUCUAAUGAGAAGGAGGCUCGGCUCUGACAGACCUGGAGCACCUGGGUAAGUGCCAUUCACAGAAGGGGAAGACCCUCAAUAGCUCACUUUUUUUUUUUCCAGACCACAUAUGGGAAGCAAGACCAGCAUCAGGAAGGUUCUAGAACUCACUUUACCACCUCCAGAAUUCUCUCUUCUCCAAAUUCAUUCUCAAGACUUCACCACUGCACAGAGGAGGAAUAUGCUGAGGUUCAGAGUGCUGGGGCCCAGCUUCAGAAUCAGAAAGGCAGGAGGCUCAGCCACCAUCCUGGCUGAGCAGAACCCCCAAGCAGGAGGGAUAAUCCCAUGAUAACAACAGGAAGGAGCAGCUGGGAUCCAAUAUUUUUUUUUAUUUAUGGUGCAUCUGAGGCCCAGAGAGAAGUGACAUGUCUGAGGUUAUACAACAGAGUUGGACCUAGAAUCCACUAUAUACUUUCUAUCCCACUUGUCAGCUUCCUCAGGGGCCAGAGACAGGAGUUAAGAUAGAAGCCCUCAGCCCUCAGUAUUAGUGCCUUCCUGCUGGGACACCAAGCGUAGCAUUGCAAUGGAAGUGUCUGGGGGCAUAUGCCACCAGGCUCAAGGGCAGGGGUUGUGAUAGGAGUGGGGUUGGACUGAAGGGCCUGGCUUGAAGGACUUGCUGAUGUGCACCCUGGAGUUCUGUUUUACUUACCCUUCUGGAAAGAGAACCUCCCUGUGCAUGUAUGAAGGCCAAGGUUAAAGAUAAGGAAGGCCUUGCUUAUUCCAUGGUAGGACAGGUCAGUAUGCUAGAGAAGGCCUCUUUGGGACUCCAUCAGGUAAGGUCAGCAUCUUGGCAAUACUAAGUUGUUCUUUUUGCCAUGUUUUUCAUUAAAGGGGUUUAGUUAGCAGGUGGGGGUGAGAUUGGUCACUUCACCCCUCCACCCCUAUCCUGCAUCAGCACUCAGGCAGUGAAGUGUGCCUCUUCCUCUCUGAGCUCAUUAAAAUCCUGUUAAUACAUCAUCCUUCCUAAUCUGACAAAUACUCAGUCCUGGCAAAUGGCCUUGCACCAGAUCUCUACCUCCUGUCCUCUGGGCCAGGUCCUGGGAGUCUAAUCUCUGAGGACUACUGGCUAACCCUUCUUCUCAAGGCAAGGGAUCUGUGCCUUGAGAGCCCCUUGCUGAGGUCAUUGAGAUCAUCCCAGGGCAGGUCAAGUGCCCAGCAAUGGAUUGGAUAAUAAUAGUGGUAAUGAUGGCAUAAUGCCUGACUUCUAUGGAGGCCCCUCCAUUCAUUCCCAGCCCUUUUGCUUGUAUCACAUCAAAAAUAGAGAAUCCCACUCUCACCCUGCCCCAGGCGGCAGGGGCUGUGCCUGGAUGUGCAGCCAAGUGCCAUCCCAUGCAUAGGUGGGGGCAUAAGUAUUUGGGUAGGAGCCUGUGUGAAGUGUCAAACCUUCCUGGCCCAGAGACCAGCAACAGGCACUUUCCAAAACAUUCAGAAAAACAACCCGCUGGCUCAGGGAGAAUCCAUAUGAAGUGUUUUGGAGGGAGGGAGGAGAAAGAGGGAGGCAGUAGAAGCCAAAGUAAGGGAGGGAGGAACAGGUGGAGCAAAGAGGAAGGAAAUAAAAAAAUGGCCUCUGAGAGAGGAUAGGGGUAGAGAGAGGAAAGGGAAGGAAGAAAGAAAUGGAGGAAAGGCAGAGGAAAGGGCGGGGAGACCUCUCUUUGUGGCCGUGUAGCUGGCCACUCAGAAAUCAUUAUAGAAAAAAAAAAAAAAAAGAAAGAAAUCAUUAUAGGCAGGAAAGGAAGGAAAUGUGUCUUGGCCGGGGAACUGGGGUGUGUGCCCAAAGGACACCACACCCAGCUGGCUGCUACCCCCUGCAUGUUCGCCAGGGCCCAGGCUGCUCUCCCUACAAAUGGAAGCUCUAGCCCUUCUCCUGGCUGUUUGGGCUUCAAGACCCAAUUCCCAGGGCCUCUCCAACCCUGCUCAAUCCCACCCAACCCUUCCUGUUUAUGAACUGAUACCAGCUUUGUCUUCCCCUGGGUCACAGGUUGUGUCUGGGUCCAGUCCCCACCCCACAGCCAGCUGAGGGACCACUAGGAACCACUGUGAGAAUCAGGAAGAAUGCUCCUUCCUCUGCACAGAUCCACUUCUGUGCAAGGCCACUCAAGAUUUGGAGGAGGAGGUGGGACUGGCCAUCAGCCCCCACUUCACCUCUGUCAACCCAACACUUGGGGACCAUGAUAUCACACUUCCAAAGUCCUUACCCCACGCGGGCCCCUAAUGUUUAAUGUGAGUUCCUUAUAGUCCCACAGAACCUCUCACUAAAUACUCACCCCAUUCGAAUACCUGGGUCUCUGUGCCUGGAAUCUCAUUUCCCUACUCUACCCAGUGAACAUCUAUUCAUCCUUCAGAACCCAACUAGAUGUGCCCUCCUCUGUGAAGCCCCUGCCUGUCCCCCACCCCCUGCAAAGCCAGUAGCACCACCUCAGAGCCUAAUCCUACCUGUUCCCCAGAGUUCAUGGGUUGGUCCCAGAAUCCUGCUACCUAGAACCCACUGUCCCACCCCAACCCCAAAGGCAGAAUACGCCAUCAAAUCCUGUAUGACUUGUCCCCUAACUUGCCAGCCCCUCUGGAACCCCACUGGGAUUCUCCCCUCCCACAACCUUACAGAUUUAAGGCAGAAUGGGAAACUGGAAAUCCAAGUAGCCCAGAAGCUCCCCACCCCCACUCUGCCCUCACAGGAGCUGGUCCUGACCGAAGAUUCCCAGCACAUCUGGUUGUACUUAAAUCAUCCAGCACUGGACUGGGCUGCCUGGGCAGGUUCCCGCUUCUCUCCCUCCUGCCCUUGACUCCUCCCCUUCCUAGCCCAGCCUGCCAGCUCUCUCCUCCAGGAGGCCUUCCCUGACUGGCCUAGCCUCUGUACCUACACCCUUGACUAUCUCUCUGGGUUGAGGGUCUAGAGGGUGCACGCUCAGCAAGGCUUGGUGUGUGGGCCCCCAUCCUGCCUAAGCACUGAUCCUGUAUAGAAACCAUCCCUCCAGACAGGGAGGGGAGCCAACCAAGUUCCUCCCCUCUGCUCCCUUAAUCUCUAGGGUGGUUGCCCUCAGCAUCUGGUGGUGUAGCAGGGAGGGAAUCGGUUCCUUCAGUGCCUUGGUUCAGAUAGACAGCCAGCAGAUCCUGCUGCCGUCAUUGUCCAAAAGUCUCAUAAAAUAUUACGAAAGGGGAAGAGCCUGACAUGGUGGUGUACACACCUCUAGCCGCAGCACCCAAGAGAUUCCUUCAGCCCAGGAGUUUGUGCUUCGUGGUCACCAUGGACAACAUAGGGAAAAAAAGAAAGAAAGAAAGGAGGUGGGGAGGGGUAAUAAAUGCAGAUAAUAUAGCAAGUACAAAAAGACAAGGCUGGCUGAGUACAGUGGUACAGGCCUGUAAUCUAGCAGCUUGGAAGGCUGAGGCGGGAGGAUCAAGAGUCCAAAGCCUCAGCAACUUAGUGAGGCUGUCUCUAAAUAAAAUACAAAAAAAGGGCUGGGGGUGUGGGUCAGUGGUUAAGCACCCUGAGUUCAAUCCCCAGUACACACACACACACACACACACACACCAAAAAAAAAUAGGUGACAAAGAAUGGGAUUGUGAGGUUAUGGAUCUACCAUGACAGGCCCCACCAGGGCUCCAUAUUCAAAUGUUCAGUCUUUCAUUCCAUAGCAUGUACUGAUGUCUAUGAGUAGUAAGUUAUAGGAAUAAAGACUUGAUUAACAAUGGGCUGGGGAUACAGCUCAGUUGGUAGAGUGCUUGCCUUGCAUGCACAAGGCCCUGGGUUCAAUCCCCAGUACCCCCCCCACACACACACACACAAAAGACUUGAUUAAUAAGACUCCAAUACUUCCUAGAGAAAUCGGGGAGUGGGGGGUGGGCAGUGAGAGGAGC